GUAGUCUCGCACAGAUGCAUAUCAAUAAGCGGAGGAAAAGGAAACUAACAAGGAUUCCCCUAGUAACGGCGAGUGAAGCGGGAAGAGCUCAAAUUUGAAAUCUUAAAGGGUUUCCCUUUACGAAUUGUAGUUUAAAGAAGUGUUUUCUGUUGAGGUUUUGGUAAAAGUUCUUUGGAAUAGGACAUCAUAGAGGGUGAGAAUCCCGUAUUUGACCUUUACUUUCAACCUUGUGAUACACUUUCAAAGAGUCGGAUUGUUUGGGAAUGCAGUCCAAAAUGGGUGGUAAAUUUCAUCUAAAGCUAAAUAUUGGCGAUGAGACCGAUAGCGAACAAGUACCGUGAGGGAAAGAUGAAAAGAACUUUGAAAAGAGAGUUAAACAGUACGUGAAAUUGUCAAAAGGGAAGCGUUUGACACCAGUGUUGUUUUUCUGAAAAUCAAUUAAAGAACUGUUUAUGCUAAGUUGUUUAGACUUUAUCAGCUAUCUGUUUAGUUUUGAGCUUUUCUUUAAUGCACUUUUCAGUUAACAAGUCAACAUCAAUUUCUUUUGCUGUAAAAAAGCUUGAGGAAGGUGGCUUGAGAUUCGUCUUAAGUGUUUAUAGCCUCUUGCCUAUGCAGUCGGGAGAGAUUGAGGUCUGUAGCGUAGAUCCUUCGGGGCUAAAUGCAUUUGUGCUAAGUUAUAGCAUUUUAUAGACAACUUGUUGACUAUGAUUAGUCUUGUAGCUUACUCGCUUAUGUUAUUUUACCUACGCUUAGGAUGUUGAUGUGAUACUGCGAGCA
rnacentral:rRNA from 1 species